rnacentral:lncRNA from 1 species
UUUUAAACAGCUUGAAGUAAAUUAAGGAGAUAACAUAGUACACCCAUGAGGAUAGUUUGCUGACGGUGCACUGUUAUAUUUAGCAAAAAUACAGCCAGUGAAAUUACUCAUUCUAGGACAUUUAGGCUACGAACCACACUAGUUUAGGAUAAGAUUUUCCAAAGAGAGAACACAACAAACACCACUAAUCGAAGCACCUAAGAGGUCUGCUGUCUCCCUUAUGCAUCUCGAGGUCUUACAAGAAAGAUGUCUCCCUUUGCUAGUUCAGUAAAUCCGUUAGGCAGGAUCGGAAACUAUGUACCAUCUUCUAGAGUAAUUGCAAAUAAGCAGCUGCACCACCUACCUGUUCCACUAAACAAGAAAGAUGAAUGCAGUGUAUAUUAGUAAGAGGAAAAGAAUGAAGCUAGUAAAAAAUGGCUGAAGUGUGAUGCAAAUCAUCUACCAUUAAAUUCUCAGAAGCAUGCAUGGUCACACAAUCAAUAUUCAAAGAAAUACGCAGUUGUUUCGCCAUAACUACAAGGACAACUCACAGUGUGAUUCUGGAAUUAUCUUAAACUAGUAUAAAUAUAUGUUUGGAGUCUUGUAAGUCAAAGUCCAAGUCUAUUGAGACUUCCUCUCCUAGGAGAGUAAUUUAUUUAUAUGAAUAAGAUUGUCUUCCACCAUGUUUCCCUUUUCUCAUUCAAAUAUAUUUCUAACAUGGAAUCGAAGCUAGUUUGAUAUAGUGAGCUUCUAAAAGGACUAGAGUGUGAAAUCUCAAAAUAAAUGGAUGGACAAGUGACGUCAAAACAAAAAAUAGAUGUGCAAAAUGAUAGCUUCUAAUAAGAGAAGUGGGGUAUUGCAUCAAAAAAAAAUUACAAAAAAGAAGACUAAGAAAAAGGCUUAGUGCAAGUUAACAACUUCAUGCACAAGAGAUGAGAUGUGAUACAAGAGCUACCACACAUGAAGAAGAGAAGAGAAGAACUCUUCCUACAAGAGAUGAGAAAUGGCCAAAGAGCCAUGAUAAGAAGAAGACAACAAUAUAAAGAAAAGAAGUGAUCACUUUAAGAGCCAAAUAUUGAAAAGAGAUGUUUGGCUAGAAAUUAAAUUGUGGCAACAACCACAAGAGGAUAAAAAUGGCUAAGAAUAGCCAUGUUCAGACAAAGACAAUAAUUGAAGAAAAACAAUUUAAAGAAAUGGCAAUGGAAUGCCAUUAGCUAGCCAUGAUGAAAGGAGUAGCUAAGACAAAGAUGCAAGAUAUAUUUUCUCAAAAUGAAGAUGGAAGUUAAUUUUAAAAACAAUUAUGGAUUAGUGUGAGAGUAAAAAAAAAAAUAAAAAAAAGAUAUUAGAAGUUAUCAUAAGACCUUUAUCACAUAAAAAAUUAUGAUACUUUCAAAAUUAAAGAGGAGUGUUGGAAUUAAUUUUGAAGCCUAUAUUUAAAGUGUCUUUUAGUUUUUCUAAGCAUCUCCUACAUAUAUGCAUGUAACUAUUAAAGAUGUAUUUAUUUUUUAAGUCUCUUAAAUUAAUUCUAGACUAGUAUAAAUAGAUGUUUGGAGUAUUAUAAGUUAAAAUACAAUUCCAUUGAGAUAAUUUAUCGGUAGCUAUGACCCUCAUAGAUGAUUUAUCGGUACUUUAUUUAAUCCAAUACAGAUUAUGUUGAUUGGGGUAUUGUUUUGGCUCCUAUGCAGGGAAUAGAUGGUGGAACGUUUUUAUUGAGUAUGUAGGGUUUAUGUUAUGUAGGUUCGCUAGCUAAUUCAGCAAACUUUUUCUAUGUGUAAUGAUUGCAUUACAUAAUUUUACCUUACUUAAUAAUAACAGCUUCUUUCAAAAAAAAAAAUACAAUUCCAUUGAGACUUGUCAAAAAUAAUAUAUUUAUACAAAUAAGAUUGUGUUUGACCAUGUUUUCUUUUUCUCCUUCAAAUAUAUUUCUAACAGCACACUCAACAUAAGUUUCUUUAGAUUCCAAACUCUCUUAGCUACCAAAAAAUUCAAUUUACUGACUUGGAUUUCAACAAAGCUUAUUAAUCAUUCCAUCAUGGCAUUUGUUAAGCUAAACCUUUUGUUCAAACCAUGUCCCAAUUUAGCAGAAUCAAUUUCAGACAACCCAAUAUAUAUAUACACACACACACACAAACUGAAAAUUUGAAGUAAACAUUUUAAAAAUAGUGGGAUGAUGUUAAGCAGACAAGGCUGGUUAUUUUUUUUUUAGGGGAAAUAGUACAAAAAGGGACUGAGUAACUUGCCAUGUUGCAUAACUCUGCCUCACAUGAGAUAGUAAUAUUGGAGUUUCUUGAGACAGGACCCCUGGUUGAGGUUACAAAAUGCUGCUGCCAUUGUUGCUAUCUAUUAACGGACUAUAUUUUCUAAACUGAUCAUCUACAAGUAGGAAGGAAGAGAGUAAACAUUCAGUUCAACAUCCAAUCAUGAGCGCCUUUUGCAGGUGAUGAUAUAAACAAAACUAAAAGAAAAGAAAAGGAGAAAAAACCCUUGAAGAAAGGAAACCCUUUUGCACAUGCAUGUCUCAGACUCUGUCUGUCUUUGUUCUAAGAAGAGAUGAGAGAAGGAAACUGCAGCCCCUCUUGACAAGAAGGCAACUGCAGUAGCUAACGGACAGGAGUAAAGCUUCUCUCCUU